GACGAACGCUGGCGGCGUGCUUAACACAUGCAAGUCGAACGAUGAAGCCGGAGCUUGCUCUGGUGAAUUAGUGGCGAACGGGUGAAUAACACGUGAGUAACCUGCCCUUGACUCUGGGAUAACUGCGGGAAACUGUAGCUAAUACCGGAUACGACCCUCGGAGGCAUCUCCUGGGGGUGGAAAGAAUUUCGGUCAAGGAUGGACUCGCGGCCUAUCAGCUAGUUGGUGAGGUAAAGGCUGACCAAGGCGACGACGGGUAGCCGGCCUGAGAGGGUGACCGGCCACACUGGGACUGGGACACGGCCCAGACUCCUACGGGAGGCAGCAGUGGGGAAUAUUGCACAAUGGGCGCAAGCCUGAUGCAGCAACGCCGCGUGAGGGAUGACGGCCUUCGGGUUGUAAACCUCUUUUAGCAGGGAAGAAGCGAAAGUGACGGUACCUGCAGAAAAAGCACCGGCUAACUACGUGCCAGCCGCCGCGGUAA
rnacentral:rRNA from 1 species